rnacentral:rRNA from 1 species
GACGAACGCUGGCGGCGUGCCUAAUACAUGCAAGUCGAGCGGACUUGUAGGAGCUUGCUCCUGCAAGUUAGCGGCGGACGGGUGAGUAACACGUGGGCAACCUGCCUGUAAGACUGGGAUAACACCGGGAAACCGGUGCUAAUACCGGAUAAUCCUUUUCCUCUCAUGAGGAAAAGCUGAAAGUCGGUUUCGGCUGACACUUACAGAUGGGCCCGCGGCGCAUUAGCUAGUUGGUGAGGUAACGGCUCACCAAGGCGACGAUGCGUAGCCGACCUGAGAGGGUGAUCGGCCACACUGGGACUGAGACACGGCCCAGACUCCUACGGGAGGCAGCAGUAGGGAAUCUUCCACAAUGGACGAAAGUCUGAUGGAGCAACGCCGCGUGAGCGAUGAAGGCCUUCGGGUCGUAAAGCUCUGUUGUUAGGGAAGAACAAGUACCGGAGUAACUGCCGGCACCUUGACGGUACCUAACCAGAAAGCCACGGCUAACUACGUGCCAGCAGCCGCCGUAAAAC